AGGGCUAUAGCCAAGCGGUAAGGCAACGGACUUUGACUCCGUCAUUCUCUGGUUCAAAUCCAGAUAGCCCUGCCA
rnacentral:tRNA from 3 species